UCAUGGGGUUGGCUUGGUUUUGUGGCAAGCAGCCCGGCAGCUUAGAGAAACAGAAGUUGAAGUCCACUCUACAGAGAAUUGUUUGGUCCUAGUUGAAUAACCUUCUGGCAUUUGCUGUUAGCAGAAUGGUAAGAAGAUUAUGGGCUUUAUACCUUCCCUUCUAUAAUUCUCUUCCACUCCAACGGAAGACAAACUCAGAAGACAAGACACGAUCAUCUCAGAAACCCUUCCAGUCACACCUCUCGUCUCUACCACUACGGUAAGCUCUUGCCCAGUCGCGCCACCCUUGCCAGCCCUCAGCCACGUGGAAAUGCCAAUCUGGGGCACAGUCACAGCUACCUUUGCGCCCGCCCGAGUGGAGGACUCUGGUCCGCGCACAGGCCAGCUGUCAGGCACUGUGCCCGAUCUGACUGGUCAGAACCUGCACCCAGGGCCCCGGGACACCGACCUGCCAGCCGCCGCUCGCGGACGUUCCUCCACAGCAGAUCCCAGGCUCUGGCGCUGGAGUCCCGCAGCUGCUCGCUUAGCGAUCUCCGGAGAGGCGCGUACACCGCUCUUCGUGGGCUGCUCAUCUCAGACGAGUCCUCAUGGCGCGGGGCAGCCUGGUCACCGCCACUCAAACCGCCUCCGACGUUUGGACGCUCGGCCACGCGGGACCCGGUGCGCCCGCCAGGCGCCCUGAGAGGCGGCCUCUGGGUUCCGCCAGCCCCUCUCCCCUCUCCUGCUGCGUCCUCCCUCUUUCCUUCCCUCCCUCCCCGGCUCCUCCCUGCACCCUAGCCCAGGCUGACAGCCGGCUCCAGGUCUUUCCCUCUCAUCCCAAAGUUAGGGACUGUGCCAUAGCCUUCCGUUUCCUGGUUUUCCGCAUCGCUUACCAACCCUACUCUGACACAAGAGCUUUGAUACAGCAGCAGUUAGUGCCCAAGACUCUCAGAGUUCAGAAUUUAAAUCAUUUGCACUCGAGCCAAGCUGACCUUCCGGGGGGUGGGGGUUGGGGGCGUUCUACACAGUGUCUUUGAGUUAUGCAGUCCCUUCCUGGUUCCAACAACAUGAUAUAAUUUUCAGAGUACAAUCUACAUUGACUAUGGUGUGGACUGGGGAGCCCAUAUAUCUGUAUGCUGACAAAGAAGUGGGAAUUCCAAGGAGGAAAAAUGGAAACUAGAAGAGCCUUCCAUACACUAACCAAAAGUAGAGAGUAUACUCAGAAUCAGACAUUAAUACUGAAGCGAGAGCGAAGGAACUGUGUAGUUUUAAACAACUACACCAGGGUCUUUAAGAAAAUGAUCACUUCUUUGCUUCUCCACGGGGUGAGGAAUGACCAAGUUUCCUGGGCUUCAAACUUUUUAUUUAGGAAGGCAAAGACAAGCCAGGCUGGCUCACACCUGUAAUCCUGCUGAGGCAGGAGAAUUUCCUGGAGUAUGUGAGGCCAGCCUGGGCUAUAAAAUGAAAUGCUGUCUUAAAACAAGAUAAUCAUAGAUAGAUAGAUAGAUAGAUAGAUAGAUAGAUAGAUAGAUAGAUAGAUAGAUAGAUAGAUAGAUAAUAAACAAACAAAUACAAGAUAGAGAAAAAAUAAAAUACUUUUAAAACUCAAAGGCAAGGACCAGACUACCUCCUCAGCCCCAUCCUCUGGGACUUGUCUUGCAGUUUAUAAGGCGUUUUUUGUAAAGUGUUUUUAAGGGUUUCAGAGAAAUUAUAACACAAUUUGAUGUAAUUCAAUGACAUAGUCAGUGCUGUCACAUAAAAUUUGGUAUAAUUUCAAAAGAGAAUUUUUGAUUCUACUUGUUUUGAGAGAGGUCUUAUUCCUCAUACUGGCCUCUCAAAAUCCAAGCAGUCUUGCCUAAAACUCCCAGUAGCAGGGUUACAGUAUGCUCUACCACACCUGGCCAGAAAACUCUUGCAAUGGUUAGUCUCUCCCUUUUCUUCUUAAAUGUCUCUCCACUUGUCUGACAAAUUGUUUAUUUCCUCUCUAGAUGUCCCAUGUGAAGUUUAAAAAACUCAGGGAAACUAUUCCAUCCUUUGGUUUUAUAAAUCACUAUUGACUUAGAGUUGAAAUUAAAGCUACCCACAUAGCCUCUGCUGACCUCUGCUGACGUCAUCCUCCAUCAGUCUAUACUGUCCUAGAGAUGCAGGAGAGGGACCAUUCAUUGCAAAGAUGCUCUUUAUCACCACACUGUGUUGUCAUAGACAUGUAAAGUGUGUACAGAUGAAGCACAUCUCAGUUAGAGAUGAGCUAGAAAGCAUCGCUGAGCAUUUUUGCAUGGUCUUGGUAAACCUUUGAAGUUAUCUGUUAUGAUGCAGUAAGGCAUGGCUUAGAAGAGGACUUGAACUUAUGGCAGCCAGUUACAGACUAAUCCAGAUGGCCUUCUAGACCCCAGCCAAACACUUUUCUGAUGAUAUCCUGUGCUUUGUAUGUUUAUAGGAGUGGCUAACUGUGCAUCUUACAGGUACAUCUAUAAGGUGUAACAACAAAGUGAGUAAUGAUUACAGUCCUAGAGAAGCUGUGUGUUUGGCUUUCAAAAGAUCCCAGUUGAGCUGAAGGCAGUAGACUACCUCUCUCCCUUCCUCCCUCCUUAUCCCUCCCCAUCUCCUACCCCCGGACACAAGCACACACAUACACACACACACUAGAACACUGCUACAAACAGCCAAGACAGCCAAGCAACUUCAGUGAUCAAUGAGCUUCAGGAAGCCUGGACCCCAACCACCUUCUUCUUCUUCUUCUUCUUUUUUUUUUUUUUUCAUCCAAAUAAGCAUUUUUGUGCUAAGAUACUCUGCCUUGGGAGUUCUUAAACUCUGAACUUGAACAUAGGUUCUGGCCCUGCAGAUUUGGUUAGUUCUGGCUGUUGGAUGAUUGUGAACUGGGCUCUGUCACAGAGAAGCCAGGUGAUCUGCUCAGAACAGGUGCUACCCAAGCAUCUUGGGGCACACAGCAUGCACAGUCCUGCAGGGGCCAGCUGAUAUUAGAAGUCCCAGAGCUCAGAGCCACACAUUGUUACCCUGGUCCAUGCUCAACCUCCACCAGAUCUGUUUCCAAGCCCUCUGCUCUCAUGUGGACCUCCAUCUGUAGCAAGCUGGUGAAAAUAAAACAUCCCCUGCUUCAGAUAACAAAUCCCCACCUUGCCUGCCAUCAUUCUGACUUUCUGCUCCCUCAUCACAUCAGAAGACAGGGUGCUGUUCCUGCCGGGGAUCCAUUCCCUGGCCUGUGCUUGCUCUGUGCUCUGGCCUGUCUUGUGUCUUGGGAAAUCCGUGGGUGUUGUUAUUUCUUGUAAGUCUGCCUCUCUGUAGGUUUGACCCCCAACUGCCAUCCUUCUUUAACUGACGCCAAAAUCCAAGAAAAGCACCCACAGAAAAGCUCAGUUCCUUACUCCCUUUAUCUUGGAACAUAGGCCUCUCUAAUCAGUACUACCCUCUUGCCCCUCACUAAAUCGCUAAGUACCCUGUUCAUGUCACCUCUAAUUAUCAUCUUGGUCAGUCCAUUGUUGUCCUUUCUGGAGCAUGUGGGGCUACUGGAUGCUGACCAGCCCAUUCCUCCUGGCACGAUCUCAUCACGCUCCAACAGGCUCGUGUAGACCCUAUCCUCUUACAUAAGGCUCCACAUGGCUAGUCUCAAGGUUCAAGUUGGUGCAGAAAGGGAAUAUAUGGAUUCAAGAUGUGGCCAGAGGCUGAGACCCCGUUGACUCAUGUUUCUGCCCCUGGACAUUAACUCUCUCGAGGAUGGGGCUAUGGAUGAAAUGACAUAAGCCACUUGUCACAUGGAAAGCAUUCACUCAGUGCUGCCAACCAUACUAUAUUAUUACAUCACUGUCCUGGCCAAAAUCUUUCCUGAGUCCCUCUAACUCAACUAUCCCGAUGCUCAAUAGAAGUAAUUCCAUUAGCUUCUCUCAUGGCAGCAGGUUAAUUUUUUUUCUCUUCUCUUCUCUUCUCUUCUCUUCUCUUCUCUUCUCUUCUCUUCUCUU